GAAAACUGAAAUUGGCUCUCUCCCUGAAGCAACACGCUCCAAAUUGAAAAGAAAACCAACCAACUACUAUAGACUCCUACCUGUCUAUUUAUUCAUCUAAUAAGUUAUUCACUAAUAUUGGACUCUAACAGGAUAACAAUAACUGAAAAAUAGCAGCAGACUCUAGCAACAUAACAAUAAUUAAAAAAAAAAAAAAUAACAGCAGCAGCAGCACGUCUUCAAGUUAAUCCGUAGGAUUAUUCACAUCAACUUCCUCCCCUCCUAACAGACUUGACUCUGGCAAGUGGGCUUGUGGAUAGGACUCAAAUAGCCUAGCGUCAAGAUGUCGUAAUUCAUCUCCUUGCAGCCAAACAGAUUCUGAACGUGGCUUGUGCUUCCAAUGGACUAAAAAUUUGUAAUAGCCCCCACGACGAGUAGUAACAAAUUGAUGGUCAGAAAUUGCUUCUAUUUCUUCUCGCGGUUUAGAAACACUAGGAAUG
rnacentral:lncRNA from 1 species